rnacentral:lncRNA from 1 species
AAACUUCAACUGGGGAUCCAUCACCUCAUUUCUCAUCUCGCAAAUAUUGUGCAAAACGCAGCAAGCUCCAAGAACAACAGGCAAAUCCUGUAGCUUCACUUCAGUCCUCUUUUGCAAGCAAGCCCAUCUUCCUUUCAAUCUCGCAAAAGCAUCUUUUGCGACAGCUUGAAUAUCCCCGAUCUUCUCAUUAAAAGCGUGCUGCGUCCAAGUCAAAUUUUUCUGCGUAUAAGGAACCAUAACCCAGUCCAUUAAUGGAUACCCAGAAUUUCCCACAAUCCAAACAUCCUUUAAAAGCCCUCGGUCGGCUCUUUGAAACAGAGCAGAUCUCUCAAGCACUUGAUCAUCAGGCAUCGAACCGGGCCAGCCUAUGCAAACAUCAGUGAAUACUCCUUUGGUGUCAACGACUCCUUGUACUGUGAUGGAAUAAGAAGUCUUCUGGUUUCUCUCAGUGUGCCUUUUGUUGAAAUACGAAGCAACGCUAAUCUUAGGCGCUAUGAUUGGUAUGUGAGUCGUGUACAUUGACCCACCAACAUUUGGUAUCCCUGAAAUACCCUGGAACUCUUCCUUAAUUUGUUUCAUUUUCAGCUCAUCAGGCCACUGUAGGAACUUGGGCAUUAACACAGUUUUGAUCGCCGAGCAAACCUCCAAGACCAGCUUGUGACAAGUGGAUAUCCCCAGACCGAACCGUUUUGAUACGACCCGGAGCGGCUCACCCGUUGCCAGCCUCCAGACGCAGACCGCC